AACAUUGUUAAUCGGGAGACUUGUUC
rnacentral:piRNA from 1 species